AUUGAACGCUGGCGGCAGGCCUAACACAUGCAAGUCGAGCGAGCGGCGGACGGGUGAGUAAUGUAUGGGGACUGCCCGAUAGAGGGGGAUAACUACUGGAAACGGUAGCUAAUACCGCAUACUAUCGGAUAACCCAUAUGGGAUUAGCUAGUUGGUGAGGUAAUGGCUCACCAAGGCGACGAUCCCUAGCUGGUCUGAGAGAAUGACCAGCCAGACUGUGACUGGGCCACGGCCCAGACUCCUUCGGAGGCAGCAGUGGGGAAUAUUGCGCAAUGGGGGCAACCCGGACGCAGCCAUGCCGCGUGAAUGAAGAAGGCCUUCGGGUUGUAAAGUUCUUUUGGUAGCGAGGCGUUAACUACAGAAGAAGCACCGGCUAACUCCGUGCCAGCAGCCGCGGUAAUUC
rnacentral:rRNA from 1 species